AACCUCAAAUGGAAGUUCCCAUGCUAAGGGUUGAAUCAGGGCUGCAGCUGCUGACUUAUACCACAGCCACAGCAAACCCCAAUCUGAGCUGCAUCUGCAAACUGUGCAGCAGCUUGCCAAAAAAUGCUGGCUCCUUAACACACCUAGCAAGGCCAGGGACAUAUUAUUACAUCCUCAGGGACAUUAUGCCAGGUUCUUAACCUGCUGAGCCACAACAAGAACGCCCCAGGUGUAAUUUUGAAGCCCUAGUAUAACGGCUCUGAAAUAUUUAUUGGUUUUUGUAUGCGGUGUUCUCUUGGUAUCAAUUUGUUUGACCUUAACUCUAUCCCACUGGAUGAGUAAUUAUUUCUCCUCUAUUUUCUCAUACUUGUUCAAAGAACCAUUGAGAACCUCAUAUAUGCUGGCCUACUAAGUUCUAGAUAUUCAAAAAUGGGUAAGAUGUUUUCACCAUCAUUGUGUUUACAAUUUCAAGGAGAAAUAAGUUUCUUUGGGCUUAUUUGUUUGCCGCCAUUUUCUCUCAUGCAGAUAUAAUACAUCUGUCACAUCACAACUGACUGUUGCAGUUAUUUUGGGGGGGUUGUGUUUGUUUGUUUAUGAGAGUUUCUUACCCGGAUAAUAUUUAUUCCCAGGGAUUUAUCAAUGUGCAGGGCACUAAAGGGAGGCAGAAUUUGCCACCCCAAACAUGUCUCUUUGGCAUAAGAUUAUUUUGAACUAUUUAUUCUUUUAAAAUGGCAGACAUGGGAGAAGCUCUGAAAAUGAAGUAGAAGUUACCCUUUUAUAAGAGCAAUUUAUAUUUAUAAGGGAAAUCUUUAUUUAUAAGAGUUACCCCCUCUGUAACAGGAAAAAGAGAAUGAUUAAAUCUUUAGAAACUCUGGGAGUUCCCGUCGUGGCUCAGUGGUUAACGAAUCCGACUAGGAACCAUGAGGUUGCGGGUUCGGUCCCUGCCCUUGCUCAGAAAUGUUUAUUCUAAAAAUACCAGGGCAUUUAAGAGUGAUAAAACAAAACAAAUAUGUCCCCAGAAUGAUUUUCUUAUGUUAAAUAUAAUUAGAAUGGGUGAGUACUUGUUAAAUAUAACAAAUACAUAUGCAUAGCACCUUUUCUAGGACUAUCUUGUCCAAAGAUAUAGCACUGUUAUCAACAGUAUGAGUCAAGAGAAGGAAAUGUAUUUUGAGAAUUUAACUAACAAGUGUACACAAAAUGAAUGAUACAAGCCAUUAGCAAAAAUAACCUGAAGUCUGCCCAUAGAAGUAUGACUAACUGGUUUUGAAAUAGCCACAGUUCCAAUCAAGGUGACCUUCAUACAAUCUUAGGAAGGCAGAACCGAAGUGCAAUUGAAACUUAGUAACGGUAUAUCUAAUAAUUGCAUUAAAUGCUGUCUAGAGAAAGACAACAUGAAUGAAAGAAGAAAAUCUCUUGAUGAAACGCAAAUAAGGAAAACUCCAAACAGCAGAACGUUAGUAGAAGUUGUCCACCCCAGAACUGCCAAGGUACUGAAUUGCUCAGAUGGAUAGAUCAGGGCAUGGAGGUAACUCUGCCAUGCUUAAAAACUCAUGCCCAAUCCCUCCCACUCCCUCCCCCUCCCAUCAGGCAGCCACAAGUCUUUUCUCCAAGGCUAGAUACUCAUGUUGCAACAGAACAAAGGGUGGGGGAAAAAAUGUAAUUGUAAUGUAUACAUGUAAGGAUAACUUGACCCCCUUGCUGUACAGUGGGAAAAUAAAAAAUAAAAAA
rnacentral:lncRNA from 1 species